rnacentral:rRNA from 1 species
GAGUAUGCUAGAAUCUGCCGAUAGUGGGGGACAACGUUUCGAAAGGAACGCUAAUACCGCAUACGUCCUACGGGAGAAAGUGGGGGAUCUUCGGACCUCACGCUAUCGGAUGAGCCUAGUCGGAUUACUAUUGGUGAGUAAUGGCUCACCAAGCGACGAUCCGUAACUGGUCUGAAGGAUGAUCAGUCACACUGAACUGAGACACGGUCCAACUCCUACGGGAGGCAGCAGUGCGGAAUAUUGGACAAUGGGCGAAAGCCUGAUCCAGCCAUGCCGCGUGUGUGAAGAAGGUCUUCGGAUUGUAAAGCACUUUAAGUUGGGAGGAAGGGCUGUCGGCUAAUACCCUGCAGUUUUGACGUUACCAACAGAAUAAGCACCGGCUAACUUCGUGCCAGCAGCCGCGGUAAUACGAAGGGUGCAAGCGUUAAUCGGAAUUACUGGGCGUAAAGCGCGCGUAGUGGUUCAGCAAGUUGGAUGUGAAAGCCCCGGGCUCAACCUGGGAACUGCAUCCAAAACUACUGAGCUAGAGUACGUAGAGGUGGUGGAAUUUCCUGUGUAGCGGUGAAAUGCGUAGAUAUAGGAAGGACACCAGUGCGAAGCGACCACCUGGACUGAUACUGACACUGAGGUGCGAAAGCGUGGGGAGCAAACAGGAU